rnacentral:rRNA from 1 species
AUACGGAGGGUACAAGCGUUGUCCGGAAUCAUUGGGCGUAAAGGGUUCGUAGGUGGAAUUAUAAGUCUGGUGUGAAAGCCCACAGCUCAACUGUGGAACUGCACUGGAUACUGUUUUUCUUGAGUUAUAGAGGGGUUUGUGGAAUUUCUGGUGUAGAGGUGAAAUUUGUAGAGAUCAGAAAGAACACCGGUGGCGAAGGCGACAAACUGGCUAUUAACUGACACUGAGGAACGAAAGCGUGGGGAGCGAACAGGAUUAGAAACCCUUGUAGUCC